UCUGCAAUUACAAACGAACGACGCGGUUUUUAAAAACAAAAGCGGAGGUGCGGGAAAUCCUACAAGGUCACAGGGGCGCAGUUUCGAUCGUGUUGAAUGGCUUAGACAACGGCUUUUCAGAAGGAAGGGAUUAGAAACUGUUCGAUCUGAAGCGGUAUUCAGAGUGUUAAAGAAUUCUUAGAUGCCGCGAUCGUUAGAAAAGCCCGAUUUUCAAAGGGAAAGAAAAAACAGUGGAUUUUAUUUUUAGCAUGGAACCCCCAAAAACACAGGAACCCCUUGCCGUGCCAUUGUUGCCACAAUGCCGUGACUCGGAUUCGAACCGAGGUUGCUGCGGCCACAACGCAGAGUACUAACCACUAUACGAUCACGGCGAGCUACCAGGGACCUGUAAUAUUCCUCUUCUGAAUAUUCUCUUCAAUACUCAUAGGCCUUCCUACUUCCUGCGUCACUAAAUGACCCAUCUGUUGGGCGGGACUCCAACCUAGCAUAGCGUGUGAUGCGCAGGCGCAUUGCACUCUCGCAGCUAACUAGGCUUCACUUUGGUUCCUUAGUCUGGGGCAAAGUAGUCGCUUGCGAGAGGUGUUAGGGGUUGGCCGGAGACCUCCUGAGUACACGGGGACCCGAGGUGACUGUCUUGGGGAAGCCGGUUUCCGGUGCCUGGACCCUUGAAGUGGACUCUGUAGAGUUCUCGGGCCUGCAGGGGCGUUCCCCAUUGCGUCUCCUGGCUGCAGAUCCUCCGCCAUCCCUAGCAGCGACCCAUAGGGACCUUUGCGUAGAGUGCGGAUGCCCUCUGUACUGAGUUAGCUGUAUGGAGAGAACUCGAAUGCCUGUCAGCUUCGGCUUUCCGCCCCCACAACCUCUCUCUCUAGCAGCCUCUCCCUCUCUUGGAUGGCUAAAUCCUCCCUCCAAGAUACUCCCGCUCGGCUUUGCGCCCACUUCUGACCCCACUGGGUGGCUAUUGAGACUCGGUCCGGUUUCCUUCUUGUCCCUCAGCGCUCCCGCCCACAUGGCGUCUAGCCUGUGACAGCUUCCAUAGAGGGGCAGUGAUAUUUCCUAAACCAAGAGUGUGCCAGUGGUUUCCGACAAGUGAAUUCAAAGUGGCCAGUACCCUCUUCCGCAGAACCACCGGAGAAAUCGCUAAACACCAACUAAAAUUUUCCCCCAUUUCACAGCCCAGACUGCAGGGCAUCCUCCUUCUUUUCCUGCUCACGUGGCUUAGAGUGUCGUUUCCUGCCCCCAACGACGGGCGCCCAUUCACUCAACAGGUUCUAGAGGAACGCUAGUUGUCAGCCAAGUCAGGCCCUAGAGCUGUGGGAGCGGGCAGGUCUUAAAAAUGACCCUGGGAGAACACUUAGAAGAGGAAUCGCGACAGUGCCUUUUCAUGACUGUGUUCAGCCUUUUGUACAUUAAAUUGCUGUUUGACAGAUUCCCAUUCUACUCAUAAAAGCUCCCUCUGCGGAGCCUCUUCGUUCCAUCACUUCGGCGUCUACUCCAGUGCUUUGAUGGAAAUCUGUGACGUCAAAGAUAUAUAGGAGACUAAGAAAAACACCAUAUUUUUAUGGAAACAGUCACAUAUGUUCGCUGCACUUUUCUGGCUGAUGCAAUUCCCUGUAUUGGGAUGCGAAUACCAUCCCCAUAACAAACUGGAAGCCUCUGAGCUCCCGCAGUCUAAUUUGGCCUACGCUGGUAUAAACCCUGUUCACAAUUGUCACUUGUUUGAGGUCCAUUUUUCUGGAAUGUUAGCUGUGUAUUAAAAUGGAAUAGAGGAACAAAACAGGUCCCUUGCCGUGCCAUUGUUGCCACAAUGCCGUGACUCGGAUUCGAACCGAGGUUGCUGCGGCCACAACGCAGAGUACUAACCACUAUACGAUCACGGCGAGCUACCGGGAACCUAAGGUCAGGACUUCUUACUUGAUCUCUUCUGUAUUGGAUGCCCCUCCCCUUUGACGUCACUGGGUUGAUGGCAUUUGUUUCCGCCUAUCAUCAACGGCGGGACUUACGAGUGUGCGCAGGCGCUUUGUUUUCCCUGGCUAGACCCGCGCGCAGGCGGAAAGCCCUACGCUCCGCAGCAGUGACAACAGCGGUAGACUGGGUCUCUUUUUUCCCCCUUUCAUUUCUCUUCUUUCUUUCUUUCUUCUUUCUUUUUUUUUCUUUUUGAGUCGGGGUCUCAUUCGGGCAGGCUGGCCUCUAACGUCCUGCGUUUUAGGUUCCCAGGCGCCACUACGUUGGGCUUGCCAGGCAGUUUCAUGACCGUCUUUUUUGAGGUGCGUUCCCAAGCCAAGCGGAAACUCGAGAAGAUUGGCCCAUUGUUAAGAUCUUUCUGCCCUCAGAAGAAAGAGGGCUCAAGGAGUUCCUGUGGGACUUGAUUCCUGUCCCAAGACCUGAGACUUUUUCCUGAGUCCGGAAGAUAGCAGGGAGUGGUUUCCAGACAUUAUUCUAGAAGGGAACAAUUGGAAGAAACUUUCUGUCACAGCGUAAGAAAAAGACAGCUACAUCCAUAAAGGAGCAUGACAUCAGACGGGUAUGGCAGCAGGAGCAGGGAACCAGAGCUGACAUCUCAGUCACACAUAGGGAGCAGAGAGAAACAGGAAGGUGGGUGAGCCUGUAAGCCCUGAAACACCACGCCUUGAGAUGUCCUUCCUUCAGUAAGGUUGUACCUAAACAUUCUAUAGUCUCCUCAAAUAGUGCUACCAACUGUUGACCACUGUUCAAAUGCACAAGCCUAUGAGGAACAUUUCGCAUUCAAACCGCCAUGUUUUUCAUCAUCU
rnacentral:tRNA from 1 species